GCAGUCGCACGAAGAACGCUCCAGCUUGCUGGAGCUAGUAAAGUGGCGCACGGGUGUAGUAACGCGUGGGUAAUCUACCUCUGAAUUGGGGAUAACAUUGCGAAAGCGAUGCUAAUACCGGAUGAUAUCCUCUAAACUUCGGUUAUGAGGAUCAAAGGUGGCCUCUACAUGUAAGCUACUGUUUGGAGACGAGCCCGCGUACCAUUAGCUUGUUGGUAGGGUAAAAGCCUACCAAGGCCACGAUGGUUAGCUGGUCUGAGAGGAUGAUCAGCCACACUGGAACUGACACACGGUCCAGACUCCUACGGGAGGCAGCAGUGAGGAAUUUUGCGCAAUGGGGGAAACCCUGACGCAGCAACGCCGCGUGAGUGAUGAAGGCUUUCGGGUCGUAAAGCUCUGUCAAGUGGGAAGAAACCGCUCCGUGCAAAUAGUUCGGGGCGCUGACGGUACCACUGAAGGAAGCACCGGCUAACUCCGUGCCAGCAGCCGCGGUAAUACGGG
rnacentral:rRNA from 1 species